GGAUGCGAUCAUACCAGCACUAAAGCAUCGGAUCCCAUCAGAACUCCGAAGUUAAGCAUGCUUGGGCGAGAGUAGCACUAGGAUGGGUGACCUCCUGGGAAGUCCUCGUGUUGCAUUCC
rnacentral:rRNA from 2 species